UAUAGAUCAGGUUUAUCAUGCGAGGCUUAGAAAACAAAAAGCACGAGCCUUGGCGAGUGCUUUUUCGUUUUCGUGCCGAGCAUGAUAUACCUGAUCUAUAAUCAACACUAACCUAUUAUUCUAUUUAUCCCACUUUUUAUUCAGUAAUCUGUUUUUAUUUAAACAAAAUAAGUUUUCAUGAGUGUUUGUCGUACUUUGAUAAUGACUGUAGUGUAACCAAGGUCAGUGUAUUACUCCGCGUUCCAAAAAUAACCGCUGAUCAAAUAAUCAUUUUUUUUAAUCAGAAUAUCGUUCUGUAACAAAGUGUCGAGCGUUAUUAAUUACAAUUUUAAUCAUAUUGAAUUGCAAAUCUUUAAGUUUUAUGAUAUCAAUAUGACAUUAAGUUGUUAUAUACAAGGAACUACAUUUGUUUACAACGUAGCCUAACACCACACACAAUUCACUUUCGAUAUCAAACUAUCGAGUCGAUCACGAGGUGCACAAUAUUUGCUUCUUUGUUAUAAUAUGUGGUUAUUCGUGACGAAAUAACAAAGAUUACUUGGAUUUAAGCUAAUUAUAUACAUUACCAUUUUGAAUGUUGAAAGUGGCACCAAAGAAUUGUGAGGCAAAGUUGUUCGAACCAGAGAAAGACAUUUGCUGGUGAAGUGACUGGGUGGGGCGAACAUCAAGAUCAACUUGUUCGACGGUAGACAGUGGUUGUCUAGGCUGCAUUUCGGCCAUAGUUUCGGUGCAUGAAGGUGAACAAGAGGAAUCUGUUGGAUUGUAACAUUUACUGGACUGAGCAAGAAUGAUCACUUUUGCUGCUGUUCAACAGAUAUGUUGGAAUAAUUGGUUAUGGACUGGACAUUUUUGUGCCCUGUUAUGGCCAUGGUUUCAGUGGCUGGAAUGUUUGCAUUUCGAAGUUUUUGGACCAGUAAUUUGCGAACUGAGUGGUUCGUUUUUCUCUUGUGCUUGAGAAAGCCGGCGUCUUUUGCCAUGGCCUUCAGCAUCUGACCUAACUUGUUGACACCCAAUUGUUGACGCAAGAAUCACCGGGAUGCAGUGUCAUUUGUGCGUAUUGCCAGGUAGAAAAGAUGCUUUGAAGAAAAAUCAGAUGGACGCAUAUCCGAGUACAGCUUGUAAAUGAACACAGGAUUUCUUGGUCCAGACGAUUGUUUUCUACGGUCAAAGGGGAGCAACUCGAACUGACUUCUUCAAAGGGGAGCAACAACAACAGAACCUAGUUGCAUAGUGUUAAAUUUACCUAAUACUAGGUUUUAAUGACAAUAAAUGACAAAAAACUCGUUUUUGCUACUUUCCUUUGUUUUAAGGUCAUUAAGAUUGACAAACAUUUGAGAUUGUUUUUAUUAUUGAUGCACUUGGCAAAUACAGUUGACGAGGUGCGUGGGAAAAAGUAGUCCCGGUUCGGCAGUUGAUGACGUCAUUUCGUGCCAUUGAUUAUAGCCUUGCCGUUGAUUAUAGAUGAAAUUUAAUCAACGGGGCUUUAAUCAACCGAUUUCGCUGUAAAAGUGGGAUAAAAAGACGUUAAAGAAACAACUUAUUCUGGGCGAAUCUAAGAGUCCACAUGACUGUGUGUUUAGACAUUAUAUAGAGAAUAAUAGGUUAGUGUUGAUUAUAGAUCAGGUUUAUCAUGCGAGGCUUAGAAAACAAAAAGCACGAGCCUUGGCGAGUGCUUUUUCGUUUUCGUGCCGAGCAUGAUAAACCUGAUAUAUAAUCAACACUGACCUAUUAUUCUAUUUAUCCCACUUUUUAUUCAGUAAACUUUUUUUAUUUAAACAAAAUAAGUUUUCACGAGUGUUUGUCGUACUUUGAUAAUGACUGUAGUGUAACCAAGGUCAGUGUAUUACUCCGCGUUCCAAAAAUAACCGCUGAUCAAAUAAUCAUUUUUUUUAAUCAGAAUAUCGUUCUGUAACAAAGUGUCGAGCGUUAUUAAUUACAAUUUUAAUCAUAUUGAAUUGCAAAUCUUUAAGUUUUAUGAUAUCAAUAUGACAUUAAGUUGUUAUAUACAAGGAACUACAUUUGUUUACAACGUAGCCUAACACCACACACAAUUCACUUUCGAUAUCAAACUAUCGAGUCGAUCACGAGGUGCACAUUAUUUGCUUCUUUGUUAUAAUAUGUGGUUAUUUCGUGACGAAAUAACAAAGAUUACUUGGAUUUAAGCUAAUUAUAUACAUUAACAUUUUGAAUGUUGAAAGUGGCACCAAAGAAUUGUGAGGCAAAGUUGUUCGAACGCUGGUGAACCGUGAAGUGACUGGGUGGGGCGAACAUCAAGAUCAACUUGUUCGACGGUAGACAGUGGUUGUCUAGGCUGCAUUUCGGCCAUAGUUUCGGUGCGUGAAGGUGUACAAGAGGAACUGUUGGAUUGUUACAUUUACUGGACUGAGCAAGAAUGAACACUUUUGCAGCUGUUCAACAGAUAUGUUGGAAUAAUUGGUUAAGGAUUGGACAUUUUUGUGCCCUGUUAUUGCCAUGGUUUCAGUGGGUGGAUAUUUGUAUUUCGAAAUUUUUGGACCAGGAAUUUGCGAACUGAGUGGUUCGUUAUUCUCUUGUGCUUGAGAAAGCCGGAGUCUUUUGCCAUGGCCUUCAGCAUCUGACCUAACUUGUUGACACCCAAUUGUUGACGCAAGAAUCACCGGGAUGCAGUGUCAUUUGUGCGUAUUGCCAGGUAGAAAAGAUGCUUUGAAGAAAAAUCAGAUGGAUGCAUAUCCGAGUACAGCUUGUAAAUUAACACAGGAUUUCUUGGUCCAGACGAUUGUUUUCUACGGUCAAAGGGGAGCAACUCGCACUGACUUCUUCAAAGGGGAGCAACAACAACAGAACCUAUUUGCAUAGUGUUAAAUUUACCUAAUACUUGAGGUUUUAAUAAAAAUAAAUGACAAAAAAACA